ACUACUCACCUUCAAAUUUAUUUCUAUUAAUGUCCUUGUAAUCUCCGACAUCCGAUCUCUAUUUUCGUUUUUUUUCCUUUCAUGAUUUGCGUUUCAUCGUCGCAGCUUUCUUUUUCAGAUGAUUAAUUUUGCAUUCUUAGAUUGCUGAUUCUGCAAACUACAUUUUGUUGAUUUUGUAAUUUGAGGCUUCACUAAGCGAGUCUCUCUGAUUAGUUUUCGUAUUUCAACAUUUUAUUCCCACUGAUCUGCUGAUAUCGCCUCAAAGUAUUCUGUACAAAAGCUGGAAAUUUGAACUAUUCCUGUUCGUGAGUGGAAGGUUAGUAGCAAUUGCAUGCCUUGAUUUGUUUCCACUUGAUCAUGGUGCUUUAAAUUUGACUGCUUGAUCUGCGCUUAAUUUGAAUGAGUAGUUAUAAUGCUGUGGUUUUGCACUUGAUUGAGAGGUUGAGAACAUAGUGACAAUUGCCUUGAUUUUCCACUUGGCCUAGUGGCAUGGUUCUUAUGUUGUAUGGCAUGGGAGCUUGGGGUUAAAUCCCUAGCAUACCUUUCUGCAUUCCUCAAUUAUCGAUUAUACCCAAAAAAAAUGGUGUUGCUUUAUACCGUUGAACAUAAAAUUCGAGUUGGUCAGUUCUGGCAACUUUGUUUCACACAUGCUCAGGUACAUUUUCACGUCUGCAUUUCUAACUUUGAGUUUUACGUUCAUAUCUUGAUCUCUAAUUGACCUGGCAUUUUAGAACUAGAACUGUUGGUAUUCUUUUUUACUUUCUUUUUUGACAGACCAAUAUUCAUUGCUUAGUUUUGAUAUACUUGAACUAUUAGGCUAUCAUAUUGUAUGCCAUGUAACAUAAA